rnacentral:rRNA from 1 species
UACGAAGGGGGCUAGCGUUGUUCGGAAUUACUGGGCGUAAAGCGCGCGCAGGCGGUUCUUCAAGUCAGAGGUGAAAGCCCAGGGCUCAACCCUGGAAUGGCCUUUGAGACUAGAGAACUAGGGUACGGGAGAGGUGAGUGGAAUUCCGAGUGUAGAGGUGAAAUUCGUAGAUAUUCGGAAGAACACCAGUGGCGAAGGCGGCUCACUGGCCCGGUACUGACGCUGAGGUGCGAAAGCGUGGAGAGCAAACAGG